rnacentral:rRNA from 1 species
GACGUGACUUCAGAGUUUGAUCCUGGCUCAGGACGAACGCUGGCGGCGUGCUUAACACAUGCAAGUCGAGCGGGGAUCAAUUAUGGAAAGCUUCGGCCGGAAGUGGUUGAUUCUAGCGGCGGACGGGUGAGUAACGCGUGAGCAAUCUGUCCUACACAGGGGGAUAACACCUGGAAACAGGUGCUAAUACCGCAUAAGACCACGAGGUCGCAUGGCCACGGGGUAAAAGAUUUAUCGGUGUAGGGUGAGCUCGCGUCUGAUUAGCUAGUUGGUGAGGUAACGGCCCACCAAGGCGACGAUCAGUAGCCGACCUGAGAGGGUGAUCGGCCACAUUGGAACUGAGACACGGUCCAG